rnacentral:lncRNA from 1 species
UCCCCCCCUGUGAUCCCCACGGCGUCACCAUCUGCGGUGGGAUGGAGUGGGAUGUGGGCAGCCUGCGGGGUCCUUGGGGUCAAUGGGAUCCAUGGGGUCCAUGGGGUCAAUGGGAUCUGAGGUCCAUGGAGUCCGUGGAGUCUUUGGGGUCCAUGGAGGCUGUGGAGUCUGUAGGGUCCUUGGGGGUCAAUGGGAUCUGUGGGAUGUGUUGGGUCCAUGGAGUCUGUAGGGUCCUUAGGGUCUGUAGGGUCCUUGGGGUCAAUGGGAUCCAUGGGGUCCAUGGGGUCCAAUGGGAUCUGUGGGGUCCAAAGACCCUGGGGUCCUGGGGGUCCAUAGCAUCCAUGGGAUCUGUGGGGUCCAUGGGGUCAAUGGGAUCUGUGGGGUCCAUGGGGUCCAAUGGGUCUGUGGGGUCCAAAGGCCUGGGGUUCUUGGGGUCCAUAGCAUCCAUGGGAUCUGUGGGAUCCAUGGAGUCCAUGGGGUCUUUGGGGUCCAUGGAGGGUGUGGAGUCUGUGAAGUCCUUGGAGUCAGUGGGAUCUGUGAGGUCUGUAGGGUCCAUGGGAUCUGUAGGGUCCUUGGGGUCAAUAGGAUCUGUGGAGUCCAUGACGUCCAUGGAAUCCAUGGAGUCUUUAGGGUCCACGGAGGCUGUGGAGUCUGUGGGGUCCUGGGAGUCAAUGGGAUCUGUGGGAUCUGUAGGAUCCAUUGGGUCUGUAUGGUCCUUAGGGUCUGUAGGGUCCUUGGGGUCAAUGGGAUCUGAGGUCCAUGGAGUCCGUGGAGUCUUUGGGGUCCAUGGAGGCUAUGGAGUCUGUAAAGUCCAUGGAGUCAGUGGGAUCUGUGGGAUCUGUAGGGUCCAUGGAGUAUGUAGGGUCUGUAGGGUCCUUAGGGUCAUGGGAUCUGCAGGGUCUGUAGGGUCCAUGGGGUCUAUGGGAUCUGCAGGGUCUGUAGGGUCAAUGGAUCUAUGGCGUCCAUGAGGCCCAUGGAGUUUGUAAGGUCCUUGGGGUCUGCAGGGUCCUUGGGGUCAAUGGGAUCUGAGGUCCAUGGAAUCCGUGGAGUCUUUGGGGUCCAUGGAGGCUGUGGAGUCUGUGAGGUCCAUGGGGUCAAUGGGAUCUGUGGGAUCCAUUAGGUCCAUGGGAUCUGUUGGGGUCUGUAGAGUCCCUGCGGUCUUUGGAGUCCAUAGCGUCCAUGGGAUCUGUGGGGUCUAUGGAGUCUGUGGGUUCCAUGAGGUCAAAGGGGCCUGUGGGGUCCAUGAGGUCUUUGGGGUCAAUGGGAUCCUUGGGGUUCAUGGAGUCUGUGGGGUCUUUGGGGUCCAUGGAGGCUAUGGGAUCCAUAGAAUCUGUGGGGUCCAUGAGAUCAAUGGGAUCUGUGGGGUCCAUGGGGUCCAACGAGUCUGUGGGGUCUUUGGGGUCCAUAGAGUCCAAGGGGUCUUUGGGGUCCAUGGGGUCUGUGGAGUCUGUGAAGUCCAUGGAGUCUGUAGGUCCUUGGGGUCAAUGGGAUCUGUGGGAUCCAUGAGGUCCAUGGAGUCCAUGGGGUCUUUGGGGUCCAUGGGAUCUGCGGAGUCUCUGAGAUCCACGGGAUCAAUGGGGGUUUCUGGUGGCUGUGGAGUCUAUGGGGUCCAUGGGGUCCAGGGGGUCUUUGGAAUCCAAGGGGUCUGUGGGGUCCAUUGGGUCUGUGGAAUCAAUGGGCUCUCUGGAGUCCAUGGGUUCCAUGGCAUAUAUUGGGUCCAUGUGGUCUGUGGGGUCCAUGGGUCCCAUGGCAUCUGUGGGGUCUUUGAAGUCCAUGGGGUCUCCGGGAUCAAUGGGGGUCUCUGGAGUCCAUGGGGUCUGUAGGGUGCGUAGGAUCUCUGGAGUCCAUGGGGUCCAUAGUGUCCGUGGGGUCCAUAUGGGGUCCAUAUGGGUCUGUGGGGUCUCUGGAGUCCAUGGGUCCCGCGGGUUGGCUCCAGGAGCGCAGCGCUCCAUUGUGACAAUGACACCC